GGACGGGCACGGCCAAACCGCAGGAAACCCCACCGCCACAAUGGAGUUCUCGACCCGCGACGUCGGUGCGUGGAGUGAGUCGCUCUCUGCCUACGAGGGCCGCCUCGCCCUCCUCCGGAAGCCUGACCUCCUCCCCCUCGAUGCCUUCUACCGGGCAGAGCUCCCCGUCCUCCUCCGCCGCAGGGAACCCCGCCCCUUCCUCACCAAGCCGGAACUCCGCCGCAUCAUGCAGUGGAAGCUCUCCCGAGGCAAAUGGAGGCCUCGGUUGCUGGAUUACGUGUCGUCGCUGGACGAAGCGUCGGUGGACUCCGCCUCGCGGAGGGCGUUCGCGGCGCUCCCGGACCUCUCUAAGGCCGUCUCGGAGCUUACGGUGCUGAAGGGAGUCGGGCCGGCGACGGCGUCCGCUGUUUUAGCUGCCUACGCGCCGGAUGUCGCGCCUUUCAUGUCCGAUGAGGCUAUGAUGGCCGCGAUGGGGAACGUGAAAGAGUAUACUUUGAAGCAGUAUCUUGCAUUUGCCGAGAAGCUACAGACGAAGGCAAAGGAUUUAAGUGCUGAAGGGAUUAUUUUCACUCCUUCUGAUGUCGAGAGAGCUUUGUGGAGCUCAGCAGUAGGUUCCAAGUUGCUGAAGUCUCCACCAAAAGAUGAUUUAGAGGCUGGUGCCAGGAAAAGCAUUAAGAGGAAAAGAAAAUUUUGACUCGAGCUAAAGUAUCUUUCACUUGCUGUGGAGCAACUAGACAUAACUUCCAGUACACUUGGUUAAUGAGAUGGAAUUUUCCCUGGACUUCAAAUGGUUCCAGGAUUUGGCAAUUGCUACCUGUUAACCAUGUCAGCUAGUUGGCUGUGAAGCCUUUGACUCCUUUUGGUGAUUAGAAGUGGAUAUAUAUACCUUGCGUCUGUUUAUGAGUGUGAAACAGAGACAGGAAAGCAUUCCAGCUGAACUGUUGGCUUGAGAUUACACUUAUAAUCAUCUCAUGUUGUUUUAUUGAUUUAGGUAUAGAUCAAUUUUAUAGUUAAUGAAGGAAAUGUAAACCUCUAUUUUGGAUGACUAAGAAAUCAGAAAUCUUGUUUUCAAGUCCUUUAUAUGCUAAAAACCUUCUUGUAGGUAUUGUAUUUUAAACUAAAAAGUCCACAUUUCACUCA